GGAGAAUUCAAUGGCAUUGACACAGCCGAAGUGGCCCAGGAGGUCCUUCUUGUAGAGGUUCCUGCAGCCCCGCAGGCGUCGCCGCUGGAAGUCGUGGGACUGCGUCCUCCAUGUUUAACCCCUGAUGCUGCGUGAGGGCAACGGGAGCAUCACCUGGCAAGUGAUUGCUGUCCCACGCACACAAGGUAUGUAGUCCCACAGCUGCAGCGUGAAGCUGUCAGGUCUGGAUUUUCUCCCAGGUGCCUGAGAAGUAGCACCCAGGAAAGCUGUGGUUUGGGAAGAUGAGGAACUGGCCUGACAGUCGUGGCCUGCCCUGUACAGCACUGUGUCCACUGAGACCUGGGAGUCCUCAGACUUUAAAACAAACAAAACCCCUUCCUCACGCAAACUGUGGUGUGGCAGCAGCACAUGGUGCUGCUGGGCUGCUGCCACGUUCAGGGGCAGCUUCUCAGCAGGAGCUUAAGUGAUUUCACUAGAGAAAGGCGAGCACUUGGGAUUCUCCUUUGUUAGGACUACAGAAAAAAAACCACGCCUGUAAGCCAUGCUGCUUAGUUGGCAUCACUAUCACCUUGCCUUUAACAAAGUAACAAACUUUUGGCUUCUAGUGGAAUUUUAAAAAUCAC
rnacentral:lncRNA from 1 species